UACGUGGGUGGCAAGCGUUGUCCGGAUUUAUUGGGUUUAAAGGGUGCGUAGGCGGCUUUGUAAGUCAGUGGUGAAAUAUGGCAGCUCAACUGUCAAGGUGCCAUUGAUACUGCGGAGCUUGAGUACAGAUGAGGUAGGCGGAAUUGACGGUGUAGCGGUGAAAUGCUUAGAUAUCGUCAAGAACACCUAUAGCGAAGGCAGCUUACUAGGCUGUAACUGACGCUGAGGCACGAAAGUGUGGGGAUCAAACAGG
rnacentral:rRNA from 1 species